UGGAGCGUGUGGUUUAAUUCGAUGCUACACGAAGAACCUUACCAGGGUUUGACAUGCAAGUGGUGGGAAACCGAAAGGUGACCGACCCUUCGGGGAGCUUGCACAGGUGCUGCAUGGCUGUCGUCAGCUCGUGUCGUGAGAUGUUCGGUUAAGUCCGCUAACGAGCGCAACCCUCACUGUGUGUUAUAUGUGUCACACGGGACCGCCGGUCUUAAGCCGGAGGAAGGUGGGGAUGACGUCAAGUCAGCAUGGCCUUUAUAUCUUGGGCA
rnacentral:rRNA from 1 species